CAGGAACCACAAAAGAUACUGCCAGAAGUGUGGGCUGUCUGGGGCCCUGCUCUUGCUCAACCACUGACUGCCACAUCCUCAGUGCUUCUUCUCUUACAUGGAACUAAAGAAAGGCAGUUUACAGAUUAGCAGCUGUUCCCCAAACCUGGGUGCCUCUACCCUGGCAGGUGGCUUCUUGGCACUUUUGUGAUGCGGAAAUGGAGAAAGAACUGAAGAAGACCCUGUGUCACAGACAUGUCAGAGAUAUGAACCAAGAAAUGUCCAUCUGGGCCUGAAGAGAUGGAUCAGUGGAUAAAGAGAUUGUGGAGCAAGGCUGAAGACCGGCGUUCAGACUUCCAGAAUCCAGGUAAAAAGCUUGCAAGGUUUGGUUGCUGCCUGUAAUCCCAAACAGAGAUAGUGACAAGAUCAUGAGGCAAGCUGGAUAGCUAGAAUAGCCGGAAUCGGCAGAAAAAAAAAUAGAGAGACAUCAAGGAAGACACUCGAUUUCAGCUUUGAACCUGUGUGUGUGUGUGUGUGUGUGUGUGUGUGUGUGUGUACAGUAAGUAUGAGGACAUGAGGUCCAUUACCAAGAUUUAAACAAAAAGGGAGCCAGGAGGUGGUACACACCUUUAAAUCCCAGCACUCAGGAGUUAGAGGCAGGCAGAUCUCUGUGAGUUCAAGGCCAACCUGGCCUACAAAGUGAGUUCCCAGGACAGCCAGGGCCAUUACACAGAGAAACCCUGUCUCAAAAAAACAAAAACAAAAACAAAAUCAACAACAACAACAACGAAAAGGAAUCCUUUUCAGUAGAGACAUGUAGGUGAGACCACUGAAUUCUCUCCAUUUAUCACUGGUGUUAUGAUCUUCUUUAAAAAUAUUUUUAUUGUAGGUGUAGGAGUGCUUUGCCUACAAGUAUGUGUGUACACCACAUGUGAGACUGGUACCUGAGGCCUGAAAGGAGUAUCAAAGCCUCUGGGACUGGAGUUACAGACAGUUAUGUGCCACCAUGGGUGUGCUGAGAGUUGAAUCUGGGUCCUCUGGAAGAGCCGCCAGUGCUCUUAACCGGUGGGUCAUCUCUGCAGACUGUUUCAGUCUGCAGAUGGGAUUCAGUGACAGAGUGGUUGCUAUUGGUUAUGCCGCGGCGCUGCCCCUCGUG